GAUGAAGAACGUAGCGAAAUGCGAUACGUAGUGUGAAUUGCAGAAUUCAGUGAAUCAUCGAAUCUUUGAACGCACAUUGCGCCCGCCAGUAUUCUGGCGGGCAUGCCUGUUCGAGCGUCAUUACAACCCUCAGGCCCCCGGGCCUGGCGUUGGGGAUCGGCGGAGCCCCCCGUGGGCACACGCCGUCCCCCAAAUACAGUGGCGGUCCCGCCGCAGCUUCCAUCGCGUAGUAGCUAACACCUCGCGACUGGAGAGCGGCGCGGCCACGCCGUAAAACACCCAACUCUUCUGAAGUUGACCUCGAAUCAGGUAGGAAUACCCGCUGAACUUAAGCAUAUCAAUAAGCGGAGGA
rnacentral:misc_RNA from 1 species